rnacentral:rRNA from 1 species
UACGGAGGGUGCAAGCGUUGUUCGGAUUCACUGGGCGUAAAGGGUGCGUAGGCGGUCGGGUAAGUCUGACGUGAAAUCUUCAAGCUCAACUGGGAGGGUGCGCCGAAUACUGAAUGACUAGAGUACGGUAGAGGGUGGCGGAACUCCGGGUGUAGCGGUGAAAUGCGUAGAUAUCCGGAAGAACACCGAUGGCGAAGGCAACCACCUGGGCCUGUACUGACGCUGAGGUACGAAAGCGUGGGGAGCAAACAGG